CGCAGCCUCGUCAAAUUCAGUGCGUCUGUCCUCGGUAGACCUCACUGGCCUAAACGGCUGCCACAGCAAGUGUAGUUCAUGGGCGCCGCGGCCUCACGCUGCGGGCCGCGGCGAUAAAUAUGCACUACAGACACAC
ensembl:snoRNA